UUUAAGAUCGGUUAUUUUAUAACCGAUUUUAAAAGUACUACUUUUAAAAUCGGUUAUGAAAUAACUGAUUUUAAA
rnacentral:miRNA from 1 species